rnacentral:rRNA from 1 species
AGCAGCCGCGGUAAUUCCAGCUCCAAUAGCGUAUAUUAAAGUUGUUGCAGUUAAAAAGCUCGUAGUUGAAUUUCGGGAUCAAUACGUCGGUCGUGCUUCGGUACGUACUGGUGUCAUUGAUUUCUCCCUUCUGACGAACCAUGAUGUCAUUAACUUGGUGUCAUGGGAAAUCAGGACUGUUACUUUGAAAAAUUAGAGUGUUUAAAGCAGGCUCGCGCUUGAAUACAUUAGCAUGGAAUAAUGAAAUAGGACGUUUGAUUCUAUUUUGUUGGUUUCUAGGAUUGACGUAAUGAUUAAUAGGGAUAGUUGGGGGCAUUAGUAUUCAAUUGUCAGAGGUGAAAUUCUUGGAUUUAUUGAAGACUAACUACUGCGAAAGCAUUUGCCAAGGAUGUUUUCAUUAAUCAAGAACGAAAGUUAGGGGAUCGAAGACGAUCAGAUACCGUCGUAGUCUUAACCAUAAACUAUGCCGACUAGGGAUCGGAUGAUGUUAAUUUUUAAUGACUCAU